AGAGAAGCUGUUUUGCAGAGAUAAUGAAAGAAAUUCUGUUUGAAGCCUAUUAAAGUUUGAAGUGCAUAUCAACAUAUAGGCAGCAUCUCCAUAGCAACAAACAUCAGUUCAAAAUAAUCAGACAGAUUUUCAUCCUCCACGUCCAUCUUCUCAGAUCCAUCAGGAGCCACAGAACUAAGGGAAGAAAAAAGGCAGCAUCAAAUACAGAGCUUUCAAGCUGAGAUCCACAAAUACGUUUCAGGAGGCCUGAGAACUCCUGGAAUUGCAAGCAAAAUAUAUGGGGAAAGUGGGCACAUUUUGAAAAAGGUGUGAAUAUCUAUCACUGGGUCUCCAAAGUAACCCCUUCAUGGCUCUAACUUUAAUAGGUUAUUUGAAUGAAAAUUGCAAUAUUAUUGCAUACCCUUAUUACCAAGGGCAUUUUUCCACAUUUGUAAAAUAGGGAUAACUUUUUCUGUUUGUUCCAAAAAUUACAGAAACAGAAUUACUAAAUAAAGCACUUGUAAAACUGUAAGUUAGGAAUCCAGAUGUCGUAUGUACAAAGCAAACAUUCCUUACUUCCUUAACCCAGGGCCCAGUCCUUGCACUGCUUCUUCUUCAUUAUCAAUCCUCUUUUCCUAACAGAUAUCAUUUCACCUUCUGGCUUUUUUACCCUCAUGGGAGUAAAAACUCAAUCUAUGUUUUCAGCCCAGACCUCUUUUCUGAAAUCCAGAUUUAUAUAUCAAACUGUUUACUUUGUAUCUUCCUCUUAGAUAUGUGUAAUAAGCAUCUGACACUCUCUCUGGAUGUCCAAAACUAAGAUAUGGAAUUCUUUCCAAAACUUGUUCCUUCAGUAUUCUUCCCCAUUUUAGCAAUUGAUACCUCCAUUUCAGUUGCUGUCAAUGAAAUCACUGGAAUCAUCCAUAAAUUUUCUUUCUCUCAUACUCUACACAUUCAGUGACUCAGAAACGAACUAUCAACCUUCUUUCAAAAUAAACAAAGAAUCCAACAACUUUUCACAGCCUCUACCACUAAUACACUGGUCCAAGCCACUGCCAUCUAAACUCCUUUAUUUUAGUACCCUCCUAACUGGUCUCUGCUCCUAUCCAGGUUCCAUCACAGUUUAUUCUUCAUCAGGCAUCCAGACAGCUCAUUCUAAAAUAUAAAUCAGAUCAACUCAGUCCUCUGCUCAAAACCCUGAGUGGCUCCCACCUCACUAGGAAUAAAAGCCAAAGUAGUUACACCGCCCAUAUAGGAACUGCUCGCCUCCAUUUGCCUUUCAGACCUCAUCUCCUUUCCUCUGCACCCUUCUCGCCUCCAUUUGCCUUUCAGACCUCAUCUCCAUUCCUCUGCACCUCUUCUGCCCUUUUGCCCAGACACAAUAACUCUCUGCUAUCUCCAGGCUUUGCUACUUGGUCGUCUAUUUGGAAUAUUCUCUCGUCUUUUUUUCUGCAACCAUCGCUCUAUCAGUAAAGCUUUCCAUGACUCUAUCAUUUAAAAUUAUCACGUUCUCGACUGGGCGCGGUGGCUCACACCUGUAAUCCCAGCACUUUGGGAGGCCGAGGUGGGCGGAUCACAUGAGGCAGGAAUUCAGGACCAGCCUAACCCCAUAAGUACUAAAAAUACAAAAAUUAGCUGCGUGUGGUAGCGCAUGCUUGUAAUCCCAGCUACUCGGGAGGCUGAGACACUAGAAUUGCUUGAACCCAAGCGAGGCGGAGGUGGAAUGUGCCGAGAUCGCGCCACUGCACUGCAGCCUGGGCAACAGAGCAAGACCCUAUCUCAAAAAAAAUAACUAAUUAAACAUCACCUCCUCCCUCCACACGUCUUUAGCCUGUUUCAGUGAUAGCACUUAGCACCAUCUGAUAGUUUCACUUACUUUGCGUGUGAAAGCACACCCAACAGACGCCAUGCAUACAGAAAAUACUGUUUUGUUCACUGUCAUUCACUCCUAUACUUCUCAGAGCCAUGAACAGUACCUGGCAUACGUUAUGUGCUCAAUUUUUGUUGUUAAAUUUAUAUCCUCAUACAAACCAGUGCCUUAGCUCUGAUAACAUCGUUCUUUUCAUAUUAAUGUACAAGUGCAUAUCUUUAAAAAAGAUGAAACCCUAACUCCAUUGAUUUUCUCGAUUUCAAAGUUAUAACCCUACAAUUUGCUUGCUGACCACAAAGAGGAAAAAUCUGAUUUUACAAUGGAACUAUCAUCCUAAAGCAGCAAUUGUCCUAUUAUCUUCAACGUAGAUAAACCAGACAUAUGUCUCUGUAUAAACUGACAAGCAUAUUAACCUGAUUUCAACUAAGUAUAUAAAAGUCACUUCUGCUCAGGACAGAGUAUAGAAGCCAAGUAAAAUGAUGCCGUAAGAAAAGCCAAUCCAGGCCGGGCGCGGUGGCUCACGCCUGUAAUCCCAACACUUUGGGAAGCCGAGGCGGGCGGAUCACGAGCUCAAGAGAUGGAGACCAUUCUGGCCAACAUGGUGAAACCCCACCUAUACUUAAAAAUACCAAAAUUAGCUGGGCGUGGUGGCGCGAGCCUGUAGUCACUUGGGAGGCUAAGGCAGUAGAAUCGCUUGAACUCGGGAGGCAGAAGUUCCAGUGAGCCGAGAUCACGCCACUUCACUCCAGCAUGGCGAAGGUGAGACUCCGCCUCAAAAAAGGAAAAAAAAAGCCAAUCCAAAUCUCCUACAAGUUUGGUCUCUAGCAAAUCAUUGUCCUGAUGCCUGAAUGUGUACUUUUUCAAAAGGCGAUCAUUGCUGGUUAAGAAUUUAAGUUUUCGUGGCCGGGCGCAGUGCCUCAUGCCUGUAAUCCCAACACUUUUGGGAGGUCGAGGCGGGUGGAUCACGAGAUCAGGAGUUCGAGACCAGCCUGGCCAACAUGGUGAAACCCCAUCUCUACUAAAAACACAAAAAUUAGGCGGGCGGCUGUAAUACCAGCUAUUCAGGAGGCUGAGGCAGGAGAAUCGCUUGAAACUGUAAGGCGGAGGUUGCGGUGAGCCGAAAUCGCGCCACUGCACUCCAGCCUGGAUGAAAGAGCAAAACUCCGUCUCAACAACAACAAAAUAAGUUAUGGUGAUGUUUCUAUAUUGCUCACUAAGCGGUACCCUACCUUUUAAUAUUUUCGUAAUAUUCAAAAACACAUUUUAAGUCUAUUGGAAACAAUACUUGCAAGCUCUCAAGUGAACAUUUAUAUUGUUACCCCACACUGCCUUUUGUAGACGAGUUUUGUCACCAAGUCAAAAGCAGCAGCGCGCACGCCGCCUGGACUUGGGUCUGCGAUCCUACUCACGCAGAUGUGUUGCGCUCACGGAUUCGCCUUGGUUUAAGGCCCGCCGUCUGGGUGCGAGCUUUCUUUGUUUUUAGCCCUUCCCGCCAUUUUGGAAAGGGUAACUUGCAGUCUCUCCGCGAAGUUUCCAACUUCUGUAGUCUUUGAGAACCUUACGAACGCUUCAAGCUUAAACUGAAGGAGGAAGGCCCACGGGAAUUAUAAACUGUCACAAUCCAGCUUACUCACUGAUAUCUAGUGUUAAAAUGCCACAAGAAAGCUAAACAUAUUCAACAUACCAACUUCCCUCAAGCAGAAAACAGUGGCUUUAAGUACUUUAUGCCCAAAUCCUAAACAUGCGAGAUUAAGCACGAGUAAUUAAACGUUACCUGCAAAUCUACACAUGUGCACAGUAACUACUUCUCAGCAAAAAUCUGGAACAAAGCAGGAUAACA
rnacentral:lncRNA from 10 species